rnacentral:rRNA from 1 species
GACAGAGGGUGCAAACGUUGUUCGGAAUUACUGGGCGUAAAGCGCGUGUAGGCGGCUAAGUAAGUCGGGCGUGAAAUCCCACGGCUCAACCGUGGAAGUGCACUCGAAACUGCAUAGCUAGAGUCCUGGAGAGGAAGGUGGAAUGCUUGGUGUAGAGGUGAAAUUCGUAGAUAUCAAGCGGAACACCGGUGGCGAAGGCGGCCUUCUGGACAGUCGACUGACGCUGAGACGGCGAAAAGCGUGGGGAGCAAACAGG